rnacentral:rRNA from 1 species
AUACGUAGGUGACAAGCGUUAUCCGGAUUUACUGGGUUUAAAGGGUGCGCAGGCGGCCGUGCAAGUCAGCGGUGAAAGCCCGGGGCUCAACCCCGGAAGUGCCGUUGAUACUGCGUGGCUGGAAUGCGGUCGAGGCGGGCGGAACGGGGCGGGGAGCGGUGGAAUGCGUAGAUAUGCCACAGAACGCCGAUAGCGGAGGCAGCUCGCCAGGCCUGCAUUGACGCUCGGGCACGAAAGCGUGGGGAUCGAACAGGAUUAGAUACCCUGGUAGUCCACGCCGUAAACGAUGGGCGCUCGUCGUCGGCGACAGACAGUCGGCGGCCAAGCGAAAGCGAUAAGCGCCCCACCUGGGGAGUACGGUCGCAAGGCUGAAACUCAAAUGAAUUGGCGGGG